rnacentral:rRNA from 1 species
UAGGGAAUCUUCGGCAAUGGACGAAAGUCUGACCGAGCAACGCCGCGUGAGUGAAGAAGGUUUUCGGAUCGUAAAACUCUGUUGUUAGAGAAGAACAAGGACGUUAGUAACUGAACGUCCCCUGACGGUAUCUAACCAGAAAGCCACGGCUAACUACGUGCCAGCAGCCGCGGUAAUACGUAGGUGGCAAGCGUUGUCCGGAUUUAUUGGGCGUAACGCGAGCGCAGGCGGUUUCUUAAGUCUGAUGUGAAAGCCCCCGGCUCAACCGGGGAGGGUCAUUGGCUACUGGGAGACUUGAGUGCAGCAGAGGAGAGUGGAAUUCCAUGUGUAGCGGUGAAAUGCGUAGAUAUAUGGAGGAACACCAGUGGCGAAGGCGUCUCUCUGUUCUGUAACUGACGCUGAGGCUCGAAAGCGUGUGGAGCAAACAGG